UACGUAGGGGGCAAGCGUUGUCCGGAUUUAUUGGGCGUAAAGAGCGUGUAGGCGGCCAUACAGGUCCGUUGUGAAAACUGGAGGCUUAACCUCCAGACGUCGAUGGAAACCGUAUGGCUAGAGUCCGGAAGAGGAGAGUGGAAUUCCUGGUGUAGCGGUGAAAUGCGCAGAUAUCAGGAGGAACACCGAUGGCGAAGGCAGGUCUCUGGGCCGAUACUGACGCUGAGGAGCGAAAGCGUGGGGAGCGAACAGG
rnacentral:rRNA from 1 species